rnacentral:lncRNA from 1 species
CUGGCAGGCACUCUGCCCCUGGGGGUGUGCAAAGAGUUGUCCAGUUACCUUGAUCUUCUCACAGCCUCCUCCCCAGGGCACCAGGAGAGACCAGGAUUGGAGGACGGUAAAGAACACACUUCCCAGAGGAUUCUUGGAGGUAGAGUCAACAGGAAGGGGUGGUGAGACCUGCACAGACCUGCUCUGUCCCCUGGGCCUGGUGACAGAUGACCUGGAUGUUGGGUGCAGCUGGGCAGGGACUGCAAUUCUGUGUGUCCCUUUUUCUGGGAGCCACAGGAAACCCAUGCCCUAAUCCACAUCAGACUACCACUUGUCCUUAUCCUCCAAACGCAGCAAAAUAUUACACAAGGUCCAGGGCAAGGCAGGAUGGCCACCUCGCUCACUCAUCACAGCUGUCCUCUGACCUGAGCAGGGCCGUUCUGUCUCAGACCUGGAGACCCCGCACUCAGGGCGUUCAGGAACUCCCCGACCCACCAGGAGCCUCUCCUGGUGUCUCCCAGGGAUUGUCAAUAGUUCCAUUUUCCUUGAAGAACUUGUUUUCAGGUGGCUUCCUCCAGGCAGUAAAUCUACAGCCCAGGCUCCCUGCAUCUUAUGGCUCCAAUCACUUUGGAUCUCAUCGUCGCCUGCACAUUGCCAUACACAGGGAAGGAGAAGAGAUGGAGAAGGCAAAGACUUUCUGAAAGCCGUGGCUAAAAGCUGGCAUGUGUCACAUCAGCUCACAUUCCAUUGGUGAGAACAUAGAAUAUGUAAGGCAAAGAGAAACCCAGGAAA